AUCGCCCCCCUGCUUCCACAAAAAUAAAAAUAAAUAAAUUAAACUAGCCACGAGUUGGAGUCGCAUCCGAAGCAGAGGCUCUUACAUCUCCCACACAGCCACCUGGAAUUUUUCGAGGACUUCGGACUAGGCCUUUUGGGAUUACGAGUUCCGCCGCGUGGAAGUCAAAACAGGAUCUCGUGGAGCCCAGACUGAUCCCAAAGUCAUAGCAGAUGA